GCCGGCCGUUAUAGCCCCGAGCUGCCCGGGGCCGCAGCCACUGCUCCACCAGGAACGACGAGCGGUGGCCCAGGGAUUCACUUUUUUUCUCUUAUUUUUAACCUCAGUGCCUCAGCCAUCUGCCGGCCUCGGCCCGCGCGGGCUCAGGGGUGCCCAGGGAGUGACCAGCGGCUAUCGGUGUCACCGUGCAGGCUCCUGCUCCUCCUCAUCAACAACAAUAAAGAUACUGAAUCAGAACAAGCUGGCAAUUUUGUUGAUGAAACAUGGGAGAGAGAGGACUCCAGCUGGCUCUUCAGCAGUUGGCCAGUUGACAGGAAUAAAACUGCAAGAAACCUGACACAGAAAACACACGUGGCAAGAGGAGACAGACAGCAGAGGCAGGCAGUAUGCCCAGCACAAGACAUUUGGCCAUCUUGGCCAUCCCUGACUCUCCACGGAGGCUCUCAAAUCAAAUAUCUGGUUCUUCUGACUCAGUGUCCAAAGGGGCACCUCUGAAUCCAAGCCCAUUUUUAAAGCUUUGCCCUGUAUUAACAAAUGAAGCUUCCCAAUGCUCAAGCAGGUGAAAAAAAAAAAUCUAUUUUAUGACAACAGGACCUCCAGCACAGAGAAAACCAUUCAUCUUCCCAAAGACUGUCUGCCAUUACUAGACACAUAUGUAAGGAUUUUUUUAAACCUAAUGCAAUAUCAAAAGCACAUGUUCUGUGUAAAUGUCAGACAUUUUUACUCGUUUUCCUACCAGAGUUCUGUGAUUAAAAUAAACA